UACGUAGGGGGCAAGCGUUGUCCGGAUUCAUUGGGCGUAAAGAGCGUGUAGGCGGCCAGGUAGGUCGGUUGUGAAAACUGGAGGCUCAACCUUCAGAGGUCGACCGAAACCAUCUGGCUAGAGUCCGGGAGAGGAGAGUGGAAGUUCCUGGUGUAGCGGUGAAAUGCGUAGAUAUCGGGAGGAACACCAGUGGCGAAGGCGGCUUCCUGGCCUGUUCUUGACGCUGAGGCGCGAAAGCCAGGGGAGCAAACGGG
rnacentral:rRNA from 1 species